GAAAAUUCACUGUCCCACUUCUGCUUUUUUAAAAACCUUGACACCCCAGGCGGGUGCUUUUUCUGUCUGCCAGAGUAACAUCCCAGGGUGCUGUGACCACCUUGACCUGUCAAGGGUGAUGCAGUUGUCUGGGGACACGGUG
ensembl:snoRNA